rnacentral:tRNA from 1 species
UGCCGAGUAGCCAAAUGGUAAGGCAACAGAUUUUGAUUCUGUGUAUUGCGUGUUCGAGUCACGCCUCGGUAG